UUUGCCUUUAAUCCCAGUGCUUCCAAGGCAGAGGCAGGUGGGUCCUGAGUUCAAGGCCAGCUUGGCCUACAGUGUGAGUGCCAGCGCUACACAGAGAAGCCCUGUCUCAAAAAAGAAAAAGAAGGAAAUUUUUGCUCCUUGCCUGCUUGCUGUCAACCUGGCUAGCAAGUCCACUCCUUCACUGGCCUUGGAGCCUGCUUCCUCGGGAUUCCAGCCUAUACUGAGGACCUGCUGAGACAUCCAGCCUCAUGGACUGAACAGCUACAGGAUCCCUGACCUUGUUCAUAUCAGCCAUUGUUGGACUAGCUGGACCACAGCCUAGGAAGUGGAGAAGCAGAAACGAAGCCAGAGAUGAUGGUGCUGAGAGGGAGGAACCGUCUGACCUUAGAGAAGCUGAUGAUGAACCUCAGACAUGGGUUGGCUGCAUACAGGACAGGGUGUGAUGUGGUUCUAGUUGGAGGAUGCUCAUUUCUCUUCUGUGAAUGAGGCCCAUCUGCCCAAGGACCGGUCGUGAGGAAGCUGCUGAAGGUGGGCACUGCUGGCUGAAGAAUAUGGACCAACUAGGGGACAGAGGCUGCAUCGGAGAGUGUGAAUGUUUGUGUCACUAGCUUUCCAAUUGUACCAUCCUUAAUAAGAUGGAGAGGAGAGAGCAAGGUAUUCCCCUGUUUUGCCUAUGCGCAAUCAACAGCAAUAAAUAAUAAUAAUAAAA
rnacentral:lncRNA from 1 species